AGAAUGGAUAAUAAAUAUAUUUAAUUUAAUCAGUGCAGGGAUCUCAGGACGGCGCCGAGACUGGCGUAUUGACACAAUCUAGACUGUCCAUGUUUUUCAUGUCAGAAUAUCGUUCAUCGGAAGAAAUUUUGGUUGCGGACUAUUUCAAGCGCUUCAAAUGGGCAUUGAGAUUGAGUAAAAUUCCUGAAACGCAUUAUGCAAAUUAUGUUUGAGUUCACAUGGGUGCGGAAUUCAAUAUUGCUCUGAAGUUCUUGGUAAGCCCUUGUGACCCUGAAGAUCUUCAAUUUGCUAAGAUACGUACAAUUUUAGUAAAUCAUUUUGAUCAAACUAAAAACAAAUACGUAGAAAGCAUUAAAUUCAAACAAAUUGUACAACAGAAGGGCGAAUCUGUCGCGAGUUUUUCACUUCGCUUAAAACAAGGCGUUGCUCAUUGUGAAUACAACACAUUUUUGGAUAGAAUGUUGAUCGAACAACUUCUCCACGGACUGGAAUCAUACAGGAUAUGUGUGACGAGAUCAUCGUUAAGAAAUCGACAACGUUCAAUGCUGCAUACGAGAUUGCAUAUUCACUUGAGGCAACCAGAAAUAUGGCAAAUGAAGUUAGAACGAAGUUCGAACCGGUGACAGCUCCUGAGGUUAUAAACAAACUAGGAUAUGAAACGCCGAAAACGAAGAAAAGCGGAUUCGAUAUCGAGCUUUACUACAAGGCAGCGAACAAUCAAUUCAAAGUUCGUGUAACAGCUGCGGAGGACAACAUCCGUGAAGCCAAUGUCGAUUCCGUGAAGCAAAAUGCUACAAGUGUGACAAGACCGGUCACAUAGCUAAAGUAUAUAGGGCAAAGUGUAAGAUAUUGACUGUAUCUAUAUGAGGCGAUUUUUGGCGAUCGCUUGGUACAUGUAUCAAUGUAUACCAAUAUACACCAGAAUGUUUUCGCGUGUUUUUGUUUUUGUGGUAGAAGCGUGGCUAGCCAUUUUGGUAUUUACUCGAUUGAUACCACGUUAUACCGAGCAGUGAAGCAGGAUAUAUAUGGUUAGUUAUUGAUAAGUUGCAAAUACGCGCCAAAUAUAAUACUAUGCUUUUUACAUAUCUAUAUGGGUUAAAUUUAUUUUGAAUAUUUACUCGGUAUUUCAAUCUUGAAUUAAGCGCAAGUUAAGAUGUCAAUUUUUACAUUUUUGUAAGUUUUGUUACACUAAACAUGAUUUCUUUAUUUUAUUAUUUGACCCAUUAGUUUGAUUUAAAAAUUUUAUUUGAUUUAUUAUUUAUCAAUUAAAGAUCAUGGAUAAAAGCAGCUUUUUGUUGUGUACCGAUAAUAAUGGGCAACCGAUUUUAGAUGAACAUGGAAAAUACAUAUAUUAUUGCACAAAAAGUACUGUAACAAUCUUAAACCAAUUAUUGGGUGAAGCAUCUAUUGAAAAUAAAGAAACUGCAGUGAAUGAGAGUAUAAGUGAAACUGCAGUGAAUGAAACUGCAACGAGUGAAAUAGCAAUGAGUGAAAAUAUAAAUGAAAAUACAGCAAACAAUAAGAAAGAUGCACAAAAAUUGGAAGUGGCAAAUGAAGAUAGUAAGCUUUAUUAUAUAUAUAAUAUAAUGUAGUCUAUUAUGUCUGUAUCUCAAAGAUUUGUUACAAUUAUUAACAUAAACAAUACUAAAUCAUGUUUUAAUACUUGC